rnacentral:rRNA from 1 species
AGUGAACGCUGGCGGUAGGCCUAACACAUGCAAGUCGAACGGCAGCACAGUAAGAGCUUGCUCUUACGGGUGGCGAGUGGCGGACGGGUGCGGAAUACAUCGGAAUCUAUUUUUUCGUGGGGGAUAACGUAGGGAAACUUACGCUAAUACCGCAUACGACCUACGGGUGAAAGCAGGGGAUCUUCGGACCUUGCGCGAUUGAAUGAGCCGAUGUCGGAUUAGCUAGUUGGCGGGGUAAAGGCCCACCAAGGCGACGAUCCGUAGCUGGUCUGAGAGGACGAUCAGCUUCACUGGGACGGCGACACGGCCCACACUCCUACGGGAAGCAGCGAUGGGGGAUAUUGGCCGAGGGGCGCAAGCCUGAACCGGCCAUUCCGCGUAGGUGAAAAAGACCCUCGAGUUGUUAAGCCCCUUUUGUUGGGAAAGAAAAGCAGUAGGUUAAUACCUCGCUGUUCUGACGGUACCCAAAGAAGAAGCACCGGCUAACUACGUG